rnacentral:lncRNA from 1 species
GUGACGUUGAAGUGGACACAGGGUGAUGAGAGGGGUGCAGAAAAGGAGAUACCCUGGCAUGCCAAGCCUGGGGCUGGUUGUCCACAUCCAGGAAGGUCCCUGCAAGGUUGUGGCACCUUUUCAUGGCAAGCAGACGCAGCACCAUGAAUACCCACAGCCACUCCUAAGGGCCCCUUCAUGCGGUGGCUGUGCCCAGCACUGGGCACGCAGGAACCAAGGCCCAGAGAGUUCUGGGUGGGUGGGGAGAGCUAGAGCCUUCCUUCUGGGCUCCAGGGCUUUUCAGUAGCACCACUGGCUUUCUAGAAGGUUGCUGUGUGAUUGGAAACUUGUGCUUUGAGAUACGAUUAUCUGUGUGGGGAGGAGGUUGUACUGGAGUCAGCAGUGAGGGGUGGCAGCACUAGGCCAGAAAUGGAUGUGGGGUCCUCUUGCGUGGAGCUGCCACUCCCCCAGCCACUCUGUCCUUACAACCAAAACCCCAAAAGGGGGCUGAGCCGGCCCUUGUGAGUGAGAGUAGAGGAGAAGGAAGGGGCUGUGGGGGGAGAGAAGCACAUGGAGCUGGCCCACGUGGAGAGAGGGACCCUGGGUGGCAGGGUGGCGUUGGGGGAGAUUUGCCAUCAGAGUGACCUUAGUGACUGUGCCACCUCGACCCUGACCUGGGCAAUGCCUGUGAGGGCACUGGGGCCCAAGGUCCCAGAGGAGCAGGGGAACUAAGAUGUGGCUCUCACAGAACCUCAAAUGUAUCUCCAGACAUCCACAUAUCUGCACCUGACACACAUUUCUGGAACAGCUACUUGGCCAAGCACCACCAGUUUGUCUCUAUGCCCCUCUUGCUGGGGAGCCCAGUCUGGGGCAAAGGAAGGCACAGGGGCAUCCGCUCCAGGCUUUCCAGAAUAGGCAGAACACAGAAGGGGUGCCCGCCGGACACGCGGAGGGAGGAGAUGAGAAGAGUCCCCAGCGCCAGAAGGGGUGGAGACGGCCUUGCUGGGGCAGGGCCACAGGUCACCUGCUGCUGGGCUCUGGCUGCAGUGGGAAACAACCAAAGUUUUAAAAAGAGGGUGAACCUCUUAGGAAAGGAAAUGACAUUUAUAAAGAGGUAGGGACGUGGGGGCAGGGAUGAUGGCCUUGGUGGCCACAGCUCUUAAACCAGUGGGGAGGAGGCAGCCACGCCAGCAUGGUGAGAUCCAAGCCGCAGUGACGGGGCUGCACUCGCUCCAGGUAGAUUGCUCAAAUGGAAGCUUCUGGAUGGAUAACUAAGGCAGCACAACCCCCAGUCAUUGUCUGAGGGCCACCCUGGGGGAUGGAGCGAGUGCAGGCCAAGUGGAUGCAGGGCCCACGGCCAGUUUCCAGGGUGAGCUGCAGGGCAAGCCGUGGGAAGCCCCAGAGGCAGACGCUGAGGGAUGGGCACCCCAAGAGAGUCCAGGGAUCCGAGGCCACCUGGGUGGAGCCCGGACAGCGUCUACUCCAGGGAGCAAAGCUGAGGCAGGAGCCGAGGGCUUUCCAGUGGAUGUGGAGACUUCGGCUUACUCCCGCACUGACUUUAUCCCAUUUCUGAGCCUGUCGGCACGUGUAGAGCAUUUUGGGCUCAGUUUCUCUAGAGACUAACUGUGGCCUCCCAUGGGGUGGGGACAGGACAGUCUCCCGGCUGCAUGGAAUGGGAUGCCGACCGAGGGACGGGCUCUCUCUUAAAGACUUGCCACCACACCUCUCUUGUCCAUGCCAGGCUUCUGGGGUCCCCUCUGCUGCAGGUGCUUCGGGAGUCUCAGUGGUUCUUCAGGGCAAAGCUGGCCCUGACCGUGUGCUGCAUGCCCGGAGGUCUGACAUCGGUGCUGCUGAGUGGCCUGCCGUGGUUCUCUUGGUUUCCCAUCUUGCAAAGAGUCGGUGAACUCUCACCUGCUCUUGUCUCCUCGUCUCUGUGCCCUGUCCUCCUGCGGGGCUUGGGAAACCAUAGGUGAUAAACACAUGAGCCAAUCUGCCAUCUCCACUGGAGCCAAUGCUCUUUCUGUGUUCCCAUUGGCCUGCCUAGGACUGAGGUCAGCUCCAGGGUCAGAGGCAGGACUGGAGUUGGGUUCUAACUGAGGCAGAGACAGGGCUUGGGAGAAGAAAUCAAGGUGGAGGGCAGAGGCUCCAGGUCUUUGCCAGGCUCACCUCAGAAGUGGGUGUGUCAGGCUGUCCAGAGUGGAGUGCACAGAAGCUGGGGCUUUGACAAGGGCAGGGUGACCAGUCCAGGCUGGCCUCAAAGGCAAGAGCUUGACUGCAGGGCCAGCAGGCGUGUGAUGUGGGUGGGCCCUAAGGAGGCUGAGGGAGAGGAUAAACUGUGAAGAGCCAGCAGCCCAGAAGCUAAAUGCAGGGAGGCAGAGAAGACAGGAGAGAUGGAGGCUUGCAGGACCUGGUGGUUGGGGAGGGCCAGUGACCAGGUGUUUAGAAGCAGCACCUCCUGUGAUUGGGGCUGAGGGUGAACUCUGCUUUCAAGCAGAGGUGGUUUGUCGUGGGUCUUCCAUGAUGACACCAGGUCAAGGUUUACCCAACAGAGCCUCCAGAUGCUCAGAGUCUUGCAGGCUCAGAACAAGAAUUGUCAACUUGCCAAGAUGAAUCUGUCUCUCGGGGGAGGACCCACACAGAACAAACGUUUGAAGCAGAAGUUUGCUUGGUAAACAUGGAAUCGGAACAUGGGAAUUGGGCCACUGGGAUAUUCAAUUGCGUCAGACCAUUGUAGCUGAUACUCCUGGACAGAGGGGCUUUGCCAACUGGACAGAUAUAUGAAGUGUUGCUGACCGAGCUCCUUGCUCUGUGUGGGAGGGAUCUUGCCAGCUCCAGCCUUGGUGGGUCUCCUUUUUCUGUUUCCAAGCUUAAAUAAGCACUUGGCUGUUCUGAUUAGCACUUUUAAAAGCUGUGUUAAUAAGUUCAAUUAAAAUAGAAGAAUCUCUCAUUCUGUCAUAUCGGGUUUUUUUAAUUGCAAACCAAUAAAACUUAAAUGAACUUGAGCAAAA